GGAGCUGAAUCGCUGGUGUCCGUUGUAUGUCCACAAUACCACACAGGUGCCAGGACGUAAUGAGAGACACAGGUACCAGGACUUAAUGAGAGACACAGGUGCCAGGACGUAAUGAGAGACACAGGUGCCAGGACGUAAUGAGAGACACAGGUACCAGGACUUAAUGAGAGACACAGGUACCAGGACUUAAUGAGAGACACAGGUGCCAGGACUUAAUGAGAGACACAGGUACCAGGACUUAAAGAGAGACACAGGUGCCAGGACGUAAUGAGAGACACAGGUGCCAGGACUUAAUGAGAGACACAGGUGCCAGGACUUAAUGAGAGACACAGGUGCCAGGACGUAAUGAGAGACACAGGAUGUACGUUAUAGCAUAGGUACCAGGAGUACGUUAUAGCACAGGUACCCGGACUUUAUGUCAUGUAUAACAGGAGGUACGUUAUACCAUGGGUACCAGGAGGUUCGUUAUAGCAUAGAUACCAAGACCUACUCUCUACCAAAGGUACUA